rfam:Penicillium arizonense strain CBS 141311 PENARI_contig031, whole genome shotgun sequence.
UACCAUGAUGAACGCACACGUAUUAUAUACGCUGGAAAUUACCGUCUCAGACUUUCGGGUCGUUGAUGAUAACUAAUGGCUAUUACUGAAC